rnacentral:rRNA from 1 species
CGAACCUACGGGAGGCAGCAGUGGGGAAUAUUGGGCAAUGGGCGCAAGCCUGACCCAGCAACGCCGCGUGAAGGAAGAAGGCUUUCGGGUUGUAAACUCCUUUUAUCAGGGACGAUAAUGACGGUACCUGAAGAAAAAGCUCCGGCUAACUACGUGCCAGCAGCCGCGGUAAUACGUAGGGAGCGAGCGUUGUCCGGAAUUACUGGGUGUAAAGGGAGCGUAGGCGGGACGGCAAGUCAGAUGUGAAAACUGAGGGCUCAACUUUCAGACUGCAUUUGAAACUGCUGUUCUUGAGUGCAGUAGAG